rnacentral:rRNA from 1 species
UACGUAGGGGGCAAGCGUUGUCCGGAUUUACUGGGCGUAAAGCGCGUGUAGGCGGCCAAGCAGGUCCGUUGUGAAAACUGGAGGCUUAACCUCCAGACGUCGACGGAAACCGCGUGGCUAGAGUCCGGAAGAGGAGAGUGGAAUUCCUGGUGUAGCGGUGAAAUGCGCAGAUAUCAGGAAGAACACCAAUGGCGAAGGCAGCUCUCUGGGACGGUACUGACGCUGAGACGCGAAAGCGUGGGGAGCGAACAGG